UAUACAUUUAACUGAACAGAAUACUCACUUAUCGAUACCACACAAUUAUACUCUCAUUCGACUAGUUCUCUGUUGACUAUUGGUGAGUAUAUAUCCUAAUUGUCAAUCAUUAUUGAGUCUUAUUUUGUGUAUUAUUAAGUAUUAUAUUAUUCAUAAUGAAUUCAACCAUUGGAUAUCUGUACCAAAAUAUUAUUUGGGACACAAUACAAUGUGCAGGGUACUUACAAAAUACAAAUUUAAUAUAUACGUUAUUUUUUAAGAGAUGAAGACAUUGUUAAUAAAAUAAAAAAAAUGACACGUGGCAAGGUACUAAAAGAAAGUCAAAAGAUGGU